ACCGCAAUGCAAAAAAAACUAACUCCGAUGCAAUUAAGACUAAUAAGGAUUUCACAACGAUAGUUAUCAUAAUAACAAGGAAUAUUACGGCAACAACACUCAGAAUUAAACAGUUAGAACAACUAUAGAGAAAAGUAUUUCAACCGCGAACUGGACGCUUUUCCGUAACUAGCCAAACAAUUAACGAGGCAAACAUACAGUCUCAUGGACGCAUAAACAUUGAUGAUACAAAACCCAUGAGUGUCCCGACAAGAUAGUCCUCCACUGAGGUGAAAAGAACUGUUCUGACAACUAUUUGAGGGUACUGGUCCAACUUCUGAGCUCCGAAGCGAAGUCCUGUUCCAUCUUUUUACAGGACUGCAUUGAGUACUGUGAAGUUUUUCUUUCUCACGACUGCCGAAAAAGAAGAGGAGCAAGAAGAGGAUCUACUAUGGAAGGACAGGCCCCUGCACGGCCUGCAAGGUUUCUGGGAUGCAGUGGUAUCUCCCUCUGUGCCUGAGUACUCGUAUCCUCAGCUUUAGCUGCGGCUGCUAUCGACUGUUGGAGGAUCUGCUUGGAAAACAUCAUCCACUGGAACGAUGAUGAAGCUGUUUGGUAGGACUUAAAGGACCUGACUGUAGGAGCGCAGACCUCUAAGACCACAUUCAAUGAGCUGUGAAUGUUUUUGUUCUCUCAUUAAUGUCACACAGAAACUGACCUAGAAGCAGAUUACAUGAAUGUCUCAGAGACCUCCUACAUUGUGUUAAUGAACUGCUGCACUUUGCUCCAGUUCAUGAAAGAAAAACUGGAACUUUGUCUUUGUGUCAUUUAAAGCUCCAAACAAAAUGACAGAAAUCUGGACUUUAGUUUUUGAAUUAAAAUGCUUUAAAUCAGAGGACGCUUCACUCCAACUUCUGCUGUGCCAUACGGCCGCCUGUCAUUCUAUUCAUAGUUAAAUUCAAACACACCGUUUGGGGUGUGAGCUGCAGCAUUCUGAGUGUGCCUGUGUCAGUGCUUUCUGAUUUCUGGUAAC